rnacentral:rRNA from 1 species
CCCUUAGAUGUUCUGGGCCGCACGCGCGCUACACUGAUGCAUUCAACGAGUCUAAAACCUGCUCUGAUAGGGGUGGGUAAUCUUUUGAAUGUGCAUCGUGAUUGGGAUAGAUGAUUGCAAUUUUUCAUCUUCAACGAGGAAUGCCUAGUAAACGCAAGUCAUCAGCUUGCAUUGAUUACGUCCCUGCCCUUUGUACACACCGCCCGUCGCUCCUACCGAUUGAAUGAUCCGAUGAAUAUCAUGGAUUGAGGAUUAUAGCAGGUUCGCCUGUCUUGAUCUUCUAGAAGUGAAGUAAAUCUUAUCAUUUAGAGGAAGGAGAAGUCGUAACA